rnacentral:misc_RNA from 1 species
GGAAGUAAAAGUCGUAAUAAGGUUUCCGUAGGUGAACCUGCGGAAGGAUCAUUAUUGUAUAACCGAGGUGCGAGGGCUGUCGCUGACCCGAAAGGUCGUGCACGCCGGAGUGCCCUCACACACAUCCAUCUCACCCCUAUGUGCACCACCGCGUGGGUCCCCCUUUGGCUUGUUCGGAGGGGGGCUUACGUUUUCACACAAACUUUGUAUGCAGUGUAGAAUGUAUUUUUUGUUUUUGCGAUCACGCAAUCAAUACAGCUUUCAACAACGGAUCUCUUGGCUCUC